rnacentral:rRNA from 1 species
GACCCGUCUUUAACCAGGGCCCAAGGGAUUUUGCGUGUUCGCGGGUCAUUGGGCGUGAUCAACCCAAAGGGGCAAUGAAAGUGAACGUUUCCUUUAGGAGCCAAUGUGUGAUCCUGGUCACCAUGGUGCGCGGGCGCAGCAUGGCCCCGUCCCGACUGCUUGCAGUGGGGUGGAGGACAGAGCGUACGCGGUGAGACCCGAAAGAUGGUGAACUAUUCCUGAGCAGGAUGAAGCCAGAGGAAACUCUGGUGGAAGUCCGAAGCGAUUCUGACGUGCAAAUCGAUCGUCUGACUUGGGUAUAGGGCCGAAAGACUUUUCCAACCAUCUAUUAGCUGGUU